ensembl:snoRNA LOC120101324 small nucleolar RNA SNORA17
CCUGCCCUUAGAGGAUUGCAGGUGUCACAUGUGCAUCAGUAGGUGGCAGAGAGGACAGAGGCCCUGACUAUGUUCAGUGUUCUGACCUAUGAACUUCAUCUGAAUGAUUAGUAGCCUAUCAUU